GACGAACGCUGGCGGCGUGCUUAACACAUGCAAGUCGAACGGAAAGGCCCUGCUUUUGUGGGGUGCUCGAGUGGCGAACGGGUGAGUAACACGUGAGUAACCUGCUCUCGAUUUUGGGAUAACUUCAGGAAACUGGGGCUAAUACCGGAUAGGAGCUCCUGCUGCAUGGUGGGGGUUGGAAUGUUUCGGCGGUUGGGGAUGGACUCGCGGCUUAUCAGCUUGUUGGUGGGGUAGUGGCUUACCAAGGCUUUGACGGGUAGCCGGCCUGAGAGGGUGACCGGCCACAUUGGGACUGAGAUACGGCCCAGACUCCUACGGGAGGCAGCAGUGGGGAAUAUUGCACAAUGGGCGGAAGCCUGAUGCAGCAACGCCGCGUGCGGGAUGACGGCCUUCGGGUUGUAAACCGCUUUCGCCUGUGACGAAGCGUGAGUGACGGUAAUGGGUAAAGAAGCACCGGCUAACUACGUG
rnacentral:rRNA from 1 species